rfam:Conidiobolus coronatus NRRL 28638 unplaced genomic scaffold CONCOscaffold_420, whole genome shotgun sequence.
GCGAAUAGAGAUCGUUUGGUAGAUUAUCUGCCUUCCAAGUAGUAUGGUAUGGGUUCGAAUCCCAUUAUUCGCA